CACAGAGGGCUCCAGCGUGAUUGCCACUGGUUAAUGACCUGCCACCCCCGCCCCCCCAACCUCUGGUGCCGUCCAAGGACUCUGACCCCAGUGCAGUGUCUGUAGGGAAGAGGAGCCAUGGGGCUUCGGGCAGGCCCCAUCCUGCUUCUGCUGCUGUGGCUGCUGCCAGAAUGCGGCCACUCCAAGGAGGCCGGGAGGAUUGUGGGAGGCCAAGACAGCCAGGAAGGACGCUGGCCGUGGCAGGUUGGCCUGUGGUUGACCUCAGUGGGGCAUGUAUGUGGGGGCUCCCUCAUCCACCCACGCUGGGUGCUCACAGCUGCCCACUGCUUCCUGAGGGUGACUCCGGGGGGCCGCUGGUCUGCCCCAUCAAUGAUACGUGGAUCCAGGCCGGCAUUGUGAGCUGGGGAUUCGGCUGUGCCCGGCCUUUCCGGCCUGGUGUCUACACCCAGGUGCUAAGCUACACAGACUGGAUUCAGAGAACCCUGGCUGAAUCUCACUCAGGCAUGUCCGGGGCCCGCCCAGGUGCCCCCGGAUCCCACUCAGGCACCUCCAGAUCCCACCCAGUGCUGCUGCUUGAGCUGCUGACCGUAUGCUUGCUUGGGUCCCUGUGAACCAUGAGCCAUGGAGUCCGGGAUCCCCUUUCUGGUAGGAUUGAUGGAAUCUAAUAAUAAAAACUGUAGGUUUUUUAUGUGUAUUUUA
rnacentral:sRNA from 1 species